UACGGAGGAUCCAAGCGUUAUCCGGAUUCAUUGGGUUUAAAGGGAGCGUAGGUGGCCAAAUAAGUCAGUGGUGAAAUCUCUCAGCUUAACUGAGAAAUUGCCAUUGAUACUGUAUGGCUUGAGUAUAGUUGCCGUUGGCGGAAUAUGACAUGUAGUGGUGAAAUACAUAGAGAUGUCAUAGAACACCGAUUGCGAAGGCAGCUGACGAAACUAUAACUGACACUGAGGCUCGAAAGUGCGGGGAUCAAACAGG
rnacentral:rRNA from 1 species